AGGAAAGGGGUGAACUGAAAUGGCGGAUGUAGCACAUUAUGGCACCGAGCAAACUUCCACAUCUUGCUGUCAAAGAUACGAAUGAUAACAUGAACAACAAAAUUUAUAUUGCUUUUGCACUGCAUGCACGGGAGGAAAAACGUGGCGGUUCACAGCCCAUCAGGCUGUCUCACCGGGUGCAGGAAGCUUGUGCAACUGGAGCAGAGUGGUACUUGGGCUUGAAGGAAAUAGUGACUGGUCCUUGAAGAAGGCUCAGAAGUAAUCAUCACAGGCUGUAGCAGCUCAUCCACGAGGAUUAUAACGCUUUGUGUUUUAACAGGAAAGGAUCUUAAAAAAGAUGGAUUAAAGGAAUCAAAACAACUGGCUGCAUCAGAAGGAUAUCCGAGCUGUCUGAUUUGCUGCAGCAUGGUUGUAUUUUUGUCUUGUAUUGGGUAACCUUUCUCUGUAUACCCAGGAUCAAUUGCCUGCUGUGACCUGAUCCUCCAGAAGGAGCGUGGGAUUAUACUGAGGCAAAAGUGACAGAACUAAUGGGGAGUCAACAACAAGCUUUUCCAGUCAGCAACACAAUGACAUUCAAAUAAUGUCUUAUUCUUCUUGCCUCACAUGUCCCUGUAAGGGACAUGCAUGUGGAGACUUUGAGUGAGCUGGACUUUCUCAGCCUGGAGGAGAGAAGCCAAAAAGGAGGCCCAAACUGCUGCCUUCAACAAUCUAAUGGAAGUUUCUGUUUCACCCCAAAGCCUGACAUUCUCUUUCAAUACCCAAAACUAUGCCUGUAUUUUCCAGGUAUACCAAGGGUCUAAUAAGCAACAAACCUUGUCUUGCCUAGUAAUCCCUAGUGUUCACUUUACUUUUCUUAUUGACGUUAAAACUGUGUUAUAACGCUCAAGUCCCCUUCCUGAGGGGCAGCUCACUUCUGUUCAUGUAAAAUCAGGACUGUUUCCUCCUGCAUGUGUCAUAUGUUACCUGUGUUACUUUAUAUUCACCAAUGUUGAAUUCCAGCUGCUAUUUCAUUAUUUUGUGAAGGUCUUCUGCAGUUCCUUUCAGUCAGCCAUAUUCUUUGCUAUUUUGAUUAAUUUCAUAUUGUCAGAAAACUUUGCCAUUUGGCUUUUCAUACUGAUUUUCAGAUUUUUAAGCUCAUAGCACAGACCCAAAUUCAGAGCCAGAUACUUAUGACAUCUCUCCAUUUCUUUUGUUUCUUUUCAUAAAAACUAUUAGUGGUAUCUGUGUGGCCUUUUUAUCUCAUUAUGGGUUGGUUUACUCAGGGAAAUAUUAAUGGGAGUCUUUGUAAAUUCUUCUUGUAAACUCCAAGCUGAUAUAUCAGUGUCAUUUCCUUUCCAUGAACUUGUUGAUUCCUUCAAGGAAAUAAAAACAGGUUUCCCAUCUAUAAAGCACACACUGCUUUUAACUCCGUUAAUAUGGAUUUUGCAGAGUACUAGAUUCUUUUCUAACUUUCUGUAUUGUGUUUUUAGAAUUAACUUACCAGUCUUUUCAUUCUUUUCUAUUUUUCUCCCUUGAAUGACUUUAUCCUGCUUAUUCAUCUUACUGGAUCUUUUUCCAGUACCAUGUCUCUAACAUACAGUAUCCUAAAACAGCCUGCAAGCAGCUUUUUCAGCCACUCUUUUUAGAUCCCUGCAGUCCCUCUAAUCUUCCCCAGGUGCUUCAGACCUUCUUGGUAAUGGGCUGGGUGCUUGGCAGGGAAGGUCUUGUGUUGAGCUUCUCCUGUUUGGGCCUGGACUUUCUUUCCAAAGGGAAUGUCUCUUACUUGUUGAUGUAAUUAAUUUACUUAUCUGAUUCCUGUCCUUCCUGCCCAGACAUGUGGGGGUGGUAUAGAACUCCUGCGCCUGAGAGUAUUUUCUUAGGCUAUGGAAAUAUGAAUGGAGAAGGGAAGCUUGCAGCCUAAGCCAGGAGUGAAUUUCACCACAACAGCUGUGUACAAAUGACCAGGCUGUCCACUGCAAGCGUGAGAAAGGAGUAGGAUUUGCAUAAAAAGGUAUGCAUUUGAAAACAUGACAAAUUUAAACCUGAUUCAUACCAAGGUAACUUGCCAGUGCUGAGACAGGCCAAAUUUGCUUCUGAGAGUUGUGUCAUGUGGUAGAAAAUGAAAAAAAAAAAUUGAAAUAGUUUGAUUUAUCACUUCUUAACCAAUCUGUCUGCUUAGACUUGAGAUAGACUUGUGACUGCUGUACAGUCUUAGAGUAGAAAAAGGAGUGAGUGUCUGAUGCCUGGCCCUGGUGCUGCAGCUUCUUGCUUCAGUGCCCCAUUUCUGAAGCUGGCAUGUCUCAGAAAAGGUGGUGUCAGUGAAGUAGAAGACACGCAACUCAUCUUAGAAGAGCUAAAAUGAUUUAGACCUUAAAAUGGGCUCCUUAUGUAUAAGGACGCUAUAAAACUAAAUUCUGUAACUGGAAAAUUUUCUAUCAAUGUAGGUUAUCUUAACAUUUUUCAAAGGCACACAAUUCUGAUCACUCUCAAACACAAUCUGUUAAAGUGUCAGCGUCAUCUACCUUAUCACUCUUUGCACUUCUAUACUCAGUGAUUUUUUCUCAAACAAUAGGACUUCAUUUUACUUUCAGCUAAGCCAUCCAGGUCUGUAAUACCCUGCUGACUUCAUUAAAAUCAUGCCGAUGUCUAUAAACUGCAUCCUAAUGCAGCUAUGAGAGACAUUCUUGUGAGUGCAUAGCUUGUGGAGGAGCAGUCAUCUCAAAAGCCCGUCUAGGGACCUCUGCUCUGCCAACUUUCCACUGAAUGUUUUUCUUCUUUGAAUAAACCUGGUAUGUUGUUUUUGA